rnacentral:rRNA from 1 species
AGAGUUUGAUCCUGGCUCAGGAUGAACGCUAGCUACAGGCUUAACACAUGCAAGUCGAGGGGCAGCAUGGUCUUAGCUUGCUAAGGCCGAUGGCGACCGGCGCACGGGUGAGUAACACGUAUCCAACCUGCCGUCUACUCUUGGACAGCCUUCUGAAAGGAAGAUUAAUACAAGAUGGCAUCAUGAGUCCGCAUGUUCACAUGAUUAAAGGUAUUCCGGUAGACGAUGGGGAUGCGUUCCAUUAGAUAGUAGGCGGGGUAACGGCCCACCUAGUCUUCGAUGGAUAGGGGUUCUGAGAGGAAGGUCCCCCACAUUGGAACUGAGACACGGUCCAAACUCCUACGGGAGGCAGCAGUGAGGAAUAUUGGUCAAUGGGCGAGAGCCUGAACCAGCCAAGUAGCGUGAAGGAUGACUGCCCUAUGGGUUGUAAACUUCUUUUAUAAAGGAAUAAAGUCGGGUAUGGAUACCCGUUUGCAUGUACUUUAUGAAUAAGGAUCGGCUAACUCCGUGCCAGCAGCCGCGGUAAUACGGAGGAUCCGAGCGUUAUCCGGAUUUAUUGGGUUUAAAGGGAGCGUAGAUGGAUGUUUAAGUCAGUUGUGAAAGUUUGCGGCUCAACCGUAAAAUUGCAGUUGAUACUGGAUAUCUUGAGUGCAGUUGAGGCAGGCGGAAUUCGUGGUGUAGCGGUGAAAUGCUUAGAUAUCACGAAGAACUCCGAUUGCGAAGGCAGCCUGCUAAGCUGCAACUGACAUUGAGGCUCGAAAGUGUGGGUAUCAAACAGGAUUAGAUACCCUGGUAGUCCACACGGUAAACGAUGAAUACUCGCUGUUUGCGAUAUACGGCAAGCGGCCAAGCGAAAGCGUUAAGUAUUCCACCUGGGGAGUACGCCGGCAACGGUGAAACUCAAAGGAAUUGACGGGGGCCCGCACAAGCGGAGGAACAUGUGGUUUAAUUCGAUGAUACGCGAGGAACCUUACCCGGGCUUAAAUUGCAGAUGAAUUACGGUGAAAGCCGUAAGCCGCAAGGCAUCUGUGAAGGUGCUGCAUGGUUGUCGUCAGCUCGUGCCGUGAGGUGUCGGCUUAAGUGCCAUAACGAGCGCAACCCUUGUUGUCAGUUACUAACAGGUCAUGCUGAGGACUCUGACAAGACUGCCAUCGUAAGAUGUGAGGAAGGUGGGGAUGACGUCAAAUCAGCACGGCCCUUACGUCCGGGGCUACACACGUGUUACAAUGGGGGGUACAGAGGGCCGCUACCACGCGAGUGGAUGCCAAUCCCAAAAACCUCUCUCAGUUCGGACUGGAGUCUGCAACCCGACUCCACGAAGCUGGAUUCGCUAGUAAUCGCGCAUCAGCCACGGCGCGGUGAAUACGUUCCCGGGCCUUGUACACACCGCCCGUCAAGCCAUGGGAGCCGGGGGUACCUGAAGUGCGUAACCGCGAGGAGCGCCCUAGGGUAAAACUGGUGACUGGGGCUAAGUCGUAACAAGGUAGCC